rnacentral:rRNA from 1 species
GACAGAGGGGGCAAGCGUUGCUCGGAAUCACUGGGCGUAAAGGGCGCGUAGGCGGGAUGGCAAGUCGGUCGUGAAAUCCUUCGGCUCAACCGAAGAACGUCGGCCGAUACUGCCGUUCUUGAGGGAUGCAGAGGAGAUUGGAAUUCCCGGUGUAGCGGUGAAAUGUGUAGAGAUCGGGAGGAACACCGGUGGCGAAGGCGGGUCUCUGGACGACUGUUGACGCUGAGGUACGAAAGCGUGGGGAGCAAACAGG